UACGUAGGGUGCAAGCGUUAAUCGGAAUUACUGGGCGUAAAGGGCGCGUAGGCGGCCUUCUAAGUCAGACGUGAAAUCCCUCGGCUCAACCGAGGAACUGCGUCUGAUACUGGAAGGCUUGAAUCCGGGAGAGGGAUGUGGAAUUCCAGGUGUAGCGGUGAAAUGCGUAGAUAUCUGGAGGAACACCGGUGGCGAAGGCGGCAUCCUGGACCGGUAUUGACGCUGAGGCGCGAAAGCUAGGGGAGCAAACGGG
rnacentral:rRNA from 1 species